ACUGGAAUACGCUGUAGUACACGUCAAUCCAGAGCAUCUUUUAACAUGCUCAAUGUCUGACCUGUCAGGUGGAUGUAUUAUCUUGGUGAAAGAGAAACACUCACUAACAGAGUUCUGGAAGGAGCUGAUGUCCCAAUGGCGGAAGGUGCUGUUCUUGAAGCUGGCCCGGCUCUUGGUGAUGCGAUAGAUCUUCCUCAGCACGGCCCGGCGCAGCAAAAUGUAGACCCAGGGGUCCAGGAUCUGGUUCCAGGAGGCCAGCCGGACGCCCAUCACCAUCAACCUCCUGUAUGUGUCCUGGUCAUUGCCUAUGGAACCGCUAUAGGACCAUGUGACUGACAUCAGGCCAAAGAUCUGCAAGUAACACAGAUACCUAGGUUAGUUUUACAGUGGUUGUGCAGGAUAUAGAUAUGUUCAGCUGGUGUAUAUAUAUUUGCAUCAAUCUGCAUACACUGCUAGUAAUUUAUAAACAUUACCUGACACUGUAGAUUGCCACAUGUUAGCAGUCAAAAUGCAUCUUCACAACGUGUUCCUAUGAAUAGCUUUACUGAUGUUAGAAACUACAGGCUCAAAAUUGUAGCCUUAUAAAUCUUAUUUACAAUUUUUAUAACAAUUGGCCACAGCUUAUUAAGAGAUUUUAAGCACAAACAAUGACUCUGUAAUGGUUCUUACAUCUCCCCAACAGUAAAAAUGUAUGCUAAGCUGUUCCUAUUUAGUUCACACAUCAGUAAUUAUAUUUGGGCCCAACUUUUGUGCAGUAUUGUGCAAAUCAACAGGUCAACUACUGACAUUAAUGGCCGUAAUGUCUUCCAGGUGAGAAAUCCAUUAAUAGACACUUUUAACGCACAUAACAUGCUUCUACACCUGCAUUGCUUGCUGUUUGGGGUUUUAGGCUGGGUUUCUGUACAGCACUUUGAGAUAUCAACUGAUGUAAGAAGGGCUUUAUAAAUUUGAUUUGACAAUGUUCUAAAUAAAGAACAAUGCAUACUUUUUGGGAGAAGGAACAAGAGGGGGAGGUGGGGGGUGCUCAAGGCUACUCUAAGUUUUAACAGACCCAGUAAUGACAAGUAACAGGCUGCCAUAAUUUGAAGCAUGGUUUAUAGUCUGUCCUCUUUCACUUCUCACAGUUUAUGUGUCAAAAUGAAUGGUUACUUUUAAAUUGGACCUGAAUGUAGAUUGCUUUGUAUGUUUCUAUUCUUGUUUGGUCAGGGUGUGAUUUGGGUGGGCAUUCUAUGUUUGUAUGUCUAGGUUUUUGUAUUUCUAGAUUUUGACCUGGUAUGGUUCUCAAUCAGGGACAGCUGUCUAUCGUUGUCUCUGAUUGGGAAUCAUAGGUAGUUGUAUUUCUGUUUAGUGUUUGUGUCACCUUGCAGGAGUGUUUCGGGUCUUCCUUUUGUUCUUUUUUGUAUUCAGUUCCUUAAAAUAAAGAUGAACACGUUUCCCGCUGCA